rnacentral:rRNA from 1 species
UGANNAGNCCCUGGAUGCAGCGAGCUUCCAAGCAUGCAUCUCAACGGUCUCUCCGGCCCAGCCUCANCCAAUUUAUUUCAACUGGUUGACCUCGGAUCAGGUAGGGAUACCCGCUGAACUUAAGCAUAUCAAUAAGCGGAGGAAAAGAAACCAACAGGGAUUGCCUCAGUAACGGCGAGUGAAGCGGCAACAGCUCAAAUUUGAAAUCUGGCUCCCUUGGGGGUCCGAGUUGUAAUUUGUAGAGGAUGCUUCGGGCAAGGCCGCGGUCUAAUUUGCUUGGAACAGCGAGUCACAGAGGGUGAGAGUCCCGUCUGGAACCGUGCGCCGCGUCCAUGUGAAGCUCCUUCGACGAGUCGAGUUGUAUGGGAAUGCAGCUCUAAAUGGGUGGUAAAUUUCAUCUAAAGCUAAAUAUUGGCCAGAGACCGAUAGCGCACAAGUAGAGUGAUCGAAAGAUGAAAAGCACUUUGAAAAGAGAGUUAAACAGUAUGUGAAAUUGUUGAAAGGGAAGCGCUUGCAACCAGACUUGCGUGUGACGGUUCCCCCGACCUUCUGGUCGGGCUAUUCUGUCAUCUCCAGGCCAGCAUCGGUUUGGGUGGUCGGUCAAAGACUUCGGGAAUGUAUCCACCUCCGGGUCGACUUAUAGCCCGGAGUGCAAUGCGACCCACCCGGACCGAGGAACGCGCUCCGGCUCGGAUGCUGGCGUAAUGGUUGUAAGCGGC